CGCUCUCAAUGAUCUCUAUUUUAUUCUCCUUGAAUUCUACUGAGGAAAGCGUAACCCUCAAAAUCCAUCUUUUCUACCAUUCUGAAUUCUCCUUUCUCCCUUUCAGUUUUCCAUUCUCAUUCGCUAAUCAGUCUUUAUCGCUAAUCAAUUUCGUCAAUAAUCAGCGCCAAAUCAGCUCCAAUUAGAAGCCUAUAAUCAGUCCACACUUCCAUUCUCAUCACUGUUAAUGAUAUUAACCCGCGUGACUAUCAGUAUAUCACCUAUCCCUGGUAGAGCUAGGGUAGGAAAUUCGGGUGUGCGGCGAUAUUGACCGGCGUGGCUAUUACUCAGCCGUCUCCUCCGACUCCCCACCCCCCCGCUCCCUCACAGACACCCUCAGUACAUUCCAGCAGCAAUUGCGUUGAAUUGAUGCUUUAUUUCUUGCAGAGAAUAAAUGCAGAUUAUGUGGAGGAAACCACUUUACAAAUUCUAAAUGUAAGUUUUUUAGUUAUGGAGUCCCCUCUUAUAUGUGCAAUCAAGGCUCGCUAAUUUGUAUGCAUGGAUGUGCUACUUAAGGUAUGUUGUGUGAUGUAUUAUUUGAAUUUGUAUGUCUAUUUUUUAGAUUGGGGGUUAUUAUGGACACCUUGAAUGGACAUCUUCUUUAUAAUAGGAAUACCAACUUAGCCUACGUAGCAGCCCUCAAAUCCCAGCGUUCUCAAAAUCCUCGAUUCUCCUUCAUCCUCAAAAUUCCUUAAUAUCUUCUUCAACAUUUCCAUUCUAAUCCCCUCACUCAAAUCUCAGUUGUGUUUCACCACAGUCAAUGGAAAGCGUUUCACCAUAAUCAAUGGAAUUCAAUAAUCAGGUCCUUACCAUCUCCAAAUCAAUGUUUCUAUUAUGAUGGUGGCUGGCUUCUCACAAGAUCUCUGUCAUUUGCCUCUCGAUUCUCCAUUCUCCUUAAUCGUUUCCAUGAACUCUACCUCAAUCACCUCUUGAUUCUCAUUGAUUAAUGCCCCCAAUGAAGGUAAAAAGUCUAACAUAAGCUUCUCAAUCGUUAAUUAUACCCUGUCUUUUCAACUAUAAAUUUUUGGGAAAUGGUUUCCACGCAUACCAUCCGAAAUUCUUUUUUUUUGUUUUCCAUGUCAUCUUUGGUUAAUUGGCUCUCAAUUUUUGAGGAGUAACAUAGAUGAGUGGUGGAGAUCUGGGAGCAUCUGCCUUUCCUGACAGGGGGAGCAUAUUUACGUGGACUUGCAGAAUUUAAGGCGGCAAAUGAACCAUGACGGAUAAGUGGUGUUCAGCAUAUGAUUGCAGAACGAUUCUCUUGUCCAUCCAGAGCCUAUUAGGAGGUCAGAUGGCGUUGUUGUCUCACUUUUUCUGCUGGCUCUUUUGUAUGUAUUUAUGAGCUAUUAGGAGCUCUUUUGUCUCACUAUUAGGAGCUCUUUUGUAUGUAUUUAUGUAAUAGUUUUUCUUAUGCUCGCGUUGUAAUGAGCAUUGAGCAGAACUCAAUACUCAGAGCCCUCUCAAUGUGUCUGCUGCUUUGCUCUGGAAGAACCAGGAAGGUUCGUAGAAUUUGCAUUUUGUUCUUGAACUCGAUCCAAUGGUGCGUAGUAUUGGAAAAUGUGGUUUUUACAAA